AAAAAAUGUAAUUUGGAUUACAUGCCUAUACUUGAACAAGCAAGACCCAGCUAAAUAGUUUUGGCUAAUGUGAAUUAGGGUUAAUGCUUAUAAUUUUAUGGGACAUUUACCUGUAACUGUUUGCUUAAUGUUUGAACCAUUGAAUCCUUUUUGUCCAUAGUGUAUGAAAUAUGAAUAUUAUCUCUAUUAGGGUUGCAAUCUGUCCAAUGAAUUUAUUUCUUCCAAAUCAAAGGAACAAUAAAUCCUGUCCGUUCAUAUUCAUGUUCUUUUCCUGUUUUGUGUUGUAACUAGGUUGAAGUUGGAG
rnacentral:misc_RNA from 1 species